rnacentral:rRNA from 1 species
AUUGAACGCUGGCGGCAGGCUUAACACAUGCAAGUCGAGCGGGGUGAUGGUGCUUGCACUAUCACUUAGCGGCGGACGGGUGAGUAAUGCUUAGGAAUCUGCCUAUUAGUGGGGGACAACAUCUCGAAAGGGAUGCAUAUACCGCAUACGUCCUACGGGAGAAAGCAGGGGAUCACCUGUGACCUUGCGCUAAUAGAUGAGCCUAAGUCGGAUUAGCUAGUUGGUGGGGUAAAGGCCUACCAAGGCGACGAUCUGUAGCGGGUCUGGGAGGAUGAUCCGCCACACUGGGACUGAGACACGGCCCAGACUCCUACGGGAGGCAGCAGUGGGGAAUAUUGGACAAUGGGGGGAACCCUGAUCCAGCCAUGCCGCGUGUGUGAAGAAGGCCUUAUGGUUGUAAAGCACUUUAAGCGAGGAGGGGGCUCUUUUGGUUAAUACCCAAGAUGAGUGGACGUUACUCGCAGAAUAAGCACCGGCUAACUCUGUGCCAGCCGCCGCGGUAA